ACGGAAGGCAGCAGUGGGGGAUAUUGCACAAUGGGGGAAACCCUGAUGCAGCGACGCCGCGUGAGCGAAGAAGUAUUUCGGUAUGUAAAGCUCUAUCAGCAGGGAAGAAAAUGACGGUACCUGACUAAGAAGCUCCGGCUAAAUACGUGCCAGCAGCCGCGGUAAUACGUAUGGAGCAAGCGUUAUCCGGAUUUACUGGGUGUAAAGGGAGCGUAGACGGUUUGCCAAGUCUGAUGUGAAAGGUGGGGGCUCAACCCCCAAACUGCAUUGGAAACUGGUAGACUAGAGUGUCGGAGAGGUAAGUGGAAUUCCUAGUGUAGCGGUGAAAUGCGUAGAUAUUAGGAGGAACACCAGUGGCGAAGGCGACUUUCUGGACUGUAACUGACACUGAGGUACGAAAGCGUGGGGAGCAAACAGGAUUAGAUACCCUGGUA
rnacentral:rRNA from 1 species